rnacentral:rRNA from 1 species
GACCUCGGAUCAGGUAGGAAUACCCGCUGAACUUAAGCAUAUCAAUAAGCGGAGGAAAAGAAACCAACAGGGAUUGCCCUAGUAACGGCGAGUGAAGCGGCAACAGCUCAAAUUUGAAAUCUGGCUUCGGCCCGAGUUGUAAUUUGCAGAGGAUGUUUCUGGCGCGGUGCCUUCCGAGUUCCCUGGAACGGGACGCCACAGAGGGUGAGAGCCCCGUAUGAGUCGGACACCAAGCCUGUGUGAAACUCCUUCAACGAGUCGAGUAGUUUGGGAAUGCUGCUCUAAAUGGGAGGAAAUCUCUUCUAAAGCUAAAACCCGCAGAGACCGAUAGCGCACAAGUAGAGGUCGGAAGA